rnacentral:piRNA from 1 species
UGAUGUAACGAGGACCUGGUAUAGAUUAA